UGCCUACGUCCAGUCCCCAAGCAACCCGCUUGAGAGUUCCACUAUCUUGUAAAUUCCUUUUACAAGUUCUAAACACACAAGGACAAUCCUUCCUUUGUGUUUAGAAUUCCUUUACAACAAGAGACUCACGGUCUCUUAAUCCCUUAGAGAAUGAGAAGAAGAAGAAGAACAAAUCUCUCUAGAAAGAGAUGGAUUUUACAGAUUGAGCACUCAAAUAAUUCCUUAAUGAAUUGCAAUUGAAUUGGCCAAGGAAUACUUAAGAGGAUAAAAUGAUUUUGCUCUUUGAGAGGAUAAACACUUGUUGUUCUGAAAAACUCUUAGCAAUUUCGUGUUUAAGUCACAUAUAUAUAGACCAUUGGUGGUCAUGAAUAAAGCCUUUGAAAAGUUGUGACUCUUAAAAUUAUUUUUCUGAAAAUCCUGUCUGGUAAUCGAUUACAGUAAUUGUGUAAUCGAUUACAGCUUUUAAAAUUUGAAUUAAAAACGUUUACUAACUGCUGGUAAUCGAUUACCAAAAUUGUGUAAUCGAUUACACAGUCUAAAAUUUCGAAUUCAAAUUUUAGUAGCUGUUAUAAAAUAUAUUUGGCCACUGGUAAUCGAUUAC
rnacentral:lncRNA from 1 species